CCUACGGGUGGCAGCAGUGAGGAAUAUUGGUCAAUGGGCGCGAGCCUGAACCAGCCAAGUAGCGUGAAGGAUGACUGUCCUACGGGUUGUAAACUUCUUUUAUAAAGGAAUAAAGUGAGGCUCGUGUGCCUUUUUGUAUGUACUUUAUGAAUAAGGAUCGGCUAACUCCGUGCCAGCAGCCGCGGUAAUAAGGAGGAUCCGAGCGUUAUCCGGGUUUGUUGGGUUUAAAGGGAGCGUAGAUGGGUUGUUAAGUCAGUUGUGAAAGUUUGCGGGCCAACCGUAAACUUGCAAUGGAUACUGGCAGCCUUGAGUACAGUUGAGGUAGGCGGAAUUCGUGGUGUAGCGGUGAAAUGCGUAGAUAUCACGAAGAACUCCGAUUGCGAAGGCAGCCUACUAAACUGCCACUGACGUUGAUGCACGAAAGUGUGGGUAUCAAACAGGAUUAGAUACCCUGGUAGUC
rnacentral:rRNA from 1 species